UUUUCUCAGUAACAAUACUCCUUUAUUAACUAAUAACAACAAUGAUGUCCAACCUUACGCUCUCAAAAGAUUGCUCAAAUCAAAUAAAUUCCAUCCAACAUUGGAAAUAAUAAACUUCCACUCCAACUGAUCUGACUUCAUAUAAUUUUUGUAAUCAUAGACUUCUUAUGUCAAAACACACACAACUUUCAAUAAACAAUAAUCAUAAUCUUCCAUCCAUGAACAAUCUUCCACAAAAUAUGAUAAUAAACUUCCAAUAUCUUUUCAUAAUAAUUCAAUCACACAAUACUCCAAUUACAUAUCCAAUAUCUUAUAAAUUAAUCUCUGAUUUAUUCCACAAAUUUACUUCACAGUGAUCAAAACCUAAAAUAAUAAAAUAAACAAGAAAUAAGAGAUAGUACCAAGCUUAUCCUGGCUCAUGACUAUCACAGUCUAGUCCCUCUAAU
rnacentral:lncRNA from 1 species